AUUGAACGCUGGCGGCAGGCCUAACACAUGCAAGUCGAGCGGAUGAGGGAAGCUUGCUCCCCGAUUUAGCGGCGGACGGGUGAGUAAUGCCUAGGAAUCUGCCUAUUAGUGGGGGAUAACGUUCCGAAAGGAACGCUAAUACCGCAUACGUCCUACGGGAGAAAGUGGGGGAUCUUCGGACCUCACGCUAAUAGAUGAGCCUAGGUUGGAUUAGCUAGUUGGUGAGGUAACGGCUCACCAAGGCGACGAUCCGUAGCUGGUCUGAGAGGAUGAUCAGCCACACUGGAACUGAGACACGGUCCAGACUCCUACGGGAGGCAGCAGGGGGAAAUAUUGGACAAUGGGCGAAAGCCUGAUCCAGCCAUGCCGCGUGUGUGAAGAAGGUCUUCGGAUUGUAAAGCACUUUAAGUUGGGAGGAAGAGUUGUAAGCUAAUAUCUUGCAGCUUUGACGUUACCAACAGAAUAAGCACCGACUAACUCUGUGCCAGCAGCCGCCGUAAUAC
rnacentral:rRNA from 1 species